GUGACCUUCAACCUGACCUACUUCACAGGGUUGUUGUGGGGAUUACAUGAGGAGUGGGAAGAACCAUGCACACUACCUUGAGAUCCUUGGAGAAAAAGGCAGCAUAGCUCGAGGCCGUAAACACACCAUUAAGGUUUUGUUCAGAGGCAAGAGAAGGAAAGAACUCUAAACAGACUUCUCCGUUCCAACAUUUCCAUUAAGUGACUAUUGAAGAGGCACUCGGGGAAAAGUUGUCAGAUCCAUUUUGUUCACGAUCUGGUAGGAAUACACAUCAAAUAUGUA